rnacentral:rRNA from 1 species
GACGAACGCUGGCGGCGUGCUUAACACAUGCAAGUCGAACGGAAAGGCCCUGCUCUUGUGGGUUGCUCGAGUGGCGAACGGGUGAGUAACACGUGAGUAACCUGCCCUUGACUUUGGGAUAACUUCAGGAAACUGGGUCUAAUACCGGAUAGGAGCUCCUGCUGCAUGGGGGGGGUUGGAAAGUUUCGGCGGUUGGGGAUGGACUCGCGGGUUAUCAGCUUGUUGGUGGGGUAGUGGCUUACCAAGGCUUUGACGGGUAGCCGGCCUGGGAGGGUGACCGGCCACAUUGGGACUGCGAUACGGCCCAGACUCCUACGGGAGGCAGCAGUGGGGAAUAUUGCACAAUGGGCGGAAGCCUGAUGCAGCAACGCCGCGUGCGGGAUGACGGCCUUCGGGUUGUAAACCGCUUUCGCCUGUGCCGAAGCGUGAGUGACGGUAAUGGGUAAAGAAGCACCGGCUAACUACGUG